CCUUUGCCAUUUAAUCUUUCUAAUCUUCCGGAUCCCCAGAGACCCCCUCCAUUCCUCCCUGGCAGGCAAGAGAGUGGCAGCAGGUCUAAGAAGGUGGGAGAACCUCUUGGGAAGAGCUGAGUACAGAUGGAUAGGUCCCUCCACCAGUCCCAGGUGGAAAGCGGGAAGUUGCGUGUGCAGACUGGGGUCCCUGGGAGGGGACGCUCAGCGGAGGCCAGAGAACUCGGCGGCUUCACCUCGAGGGGGCUCCCAUCUCAAGUCUCCCGUGUCGGAGGAAGAGUCCGACGGCUCCCGAAGUCCGCAGGCGGGAGGCGGGUUCGACUGUAGAUGACGAAACACAGGGAGACGAGUGAAGAGCGAGUGGGGAGAUCCUCGAAGGGGAAGAAGAGGGAAAGGAAGAGAAAAACGAACCAAAGGAGGAGUACGCCGAGUACAGACGGAGGCAGGCCCCGGCCUCAUUUGCCUAAUGCAAUGCGGCUGAACUCUCGCUGAACUCGCCUAGCGGCGCCUCACCUCCGAGUGACCCACCCACCGCUGCCCGUGACAUCACCCGAUCGCCAGCCCGCCUGCAGGGUUCGCCCGCCGGUCCCCUGCCCGGCCCGACCGGGCCGGGCCAGCUCUCCCAGACACGCAGAGAACGGCCGAAGGUGGGGCUGGGCCGUGGUGCUUGGCUGUGGUGCUUGUGGCCAAGCAUUAGAGCCACGAACGCAGCGUGUCUAGUGUCCCGGUUGUGACAUUGUGCAACUUGGGUACUGUGUCUGAAUGAGACACCCGGCUUGUGUCACUGUCUGUGACAUCAUGUGUGACUCGGGCCACCAGCCCGCCCGCCCGCCGGAACCCAACGCGGCAGCGCAGUACUGUUGGCACAAACACAAGCAGAGGGGUUCUCCUCCCCACUCUGCGUGCUUCCGGUGAGCAAAGCCCCGCCCAGGGUGUCUCCCAGCUAGGGAACUAGGAUUCACAGCCAAAUGGUCCAGCCCUGGAGAGAUAAAAGGAGGGUCUGGUGUCUUCCAGCUGACCACUUCCUCCCGGAAGCCCUCAGGAUGCCUAGGAUGUCUGUUUCUUUGAAAGAAGGACCUUGGUUGGGUAGGUCCUUAGAAAAAGGGGAUGCCCCUGGAGGAGGGGUAUCCUAUUACCCUGCUCUGUAAGAAGGAGAUGAAUUUACAUAAAACACAACGUUAUUCUUCUAGAAGCCAGGUGCUUUACAUAUGUUGUCACUUAAUUCUCACAGCAACUGCAAGAGGCUUUAAAAAUAAACAGUUUGGGUUGGAGAUGUGGCUUAAUGGUAGAGCAUUUCCUAGCUUGCAUGAGACUGGUUCGAUCCCCAAUACCACCAAAAAAAGAAACUGAAAUCUCAGCAAGAGUAGGUGAGUCCUGCAAGAUCACACUAUGAAUGAAUAUAAUGGGUAAAGAUGCAAGUUUCUGUCACCAGAGCACAUGCUUCCACCAAAGCAACUCAAUAUGAACUGUAUUUUCUAAGUGUCUUUUAUAAAGUGGAUAUCCUGAAGACCUUCUGGAGUAACAUCUACUAAUGUGUAAUAUGAAAACAUUAUAUGUA